GGGGUUGUAGCCUAGUGGUUAGAGCCUCGGACUCACGACCUUCGAAGGUCGGGGUUCGAUUCCCGAUCCCA
rfam:Macrostomum lignano uti_cns_0003379, whole genome shotgun sequence.